rnacentral:lncRNA from 1 species
GUGUAUUUGUUGUAAUCAGUGAACAAGCACUGAUAUACUAUGGUCAAAUACUAUAAUUUUAUUCACAUUCCUUAGUUUUUAACUCAAAGUCCAUUUUCUGUUGCAGAAUUCCCCUACAGAUGGCAAAUGCUGCAUUUAGUUGCCAUGUCUCUUUAAGUUUUUUUUGGUUGGCCAGUUUCUCAGAUUUUCCAUAUUUUUGAUGACAUUGGCAAUUUUUAGUAGUAGUGGUAGGGAAUGAUGAGAGUGAUGUAGGGUCUUGUCUCAUAUUGAAUAACAAUUUCCAGGGGAACAGGGAUAGUAGGCUGCAGCACUCAGGAGAAGAACUUCAAGGGAGGAGUUGUUAGAGAAACUUGCAAGUGCUAGCUCUUUUAUACACAAAGUUUCUCUCUCUGAUUGACCCCUUUCUGAGAAGUGAUACAGAUUUAACCAAUGGGGUGGGGGGAGCCCAAAAUAACAACCAAUCAAGAGGCCAGGAUAACAACCAAUCAGGGAACUGAAAGUGUAUGCUAAUGAGAUGCUAUAUGAAUCCAUCAGGGAUUAGCCUGUUUUGCAUAGAAGUAUAUAGAGUGCUCAAUCAGAUCCAUUCUUCACUCAACAACAUGUAAAGAUUACACUGUAUGUUUCCCCUGUCUCCUCUCUCCCCCUGUCUCAGGGCUCCUGGAGAGUUACAUCAUAUAUUUUUUAUUUCUUUGUUUUUCUUUCCUUUCUAGGGGUCCUUGGAGUUCCUCUCAGUGGUCAGAAAUUUUGUAGAAAGUCCCUUUCCUUGGUUUGCUUGAUAUUUUCCUCAUGUUUGGCCAGGUUUCUCUUCUGUAAAAUUUCGUUUCCUUUUCCUUUCAGUACUCAUAGGAUGAAAGUCACUUUCAUACUGUAAAAUGAAGGAGGGAGAAGCCAUGUUCAGAUUCCUGAGGGUGGAGUAGUUUAAUUUUCAUAAGCUGAAUUCCUUUCAGAACAGAGCAGCUUGCUAUCGUAGAGAAGCCUGGAAUGAAUGCUCUGUCAGCUCAAGGACCCUCCUUAUUCUGUGGUGGUCCACACAAAUCCUUCCAAGGGAAGAACACUGUCAUCACAAAUCACCAUGUGCCAACUGAAAAGCCUGGUUCUGGGGAUGUUGGUGCUGGAAAUCACCAUCUACGACUGAUAUUCGGCUGUCCUCAGACAUCGUAGAAGAGUUCUCCGAUUCCGUGUGUGGGAUUGAAAUCCUGGAAGUUCAUUACUGAGAGUCGUUUGAUCAGUC